GCGCACCAGGCGAGAAUACUUUACAAUGUGCGAAAGCACGAUAAGGGAACUCUGAGUGCCUCCUAAGGAGGCUGUUCAGGUGUCUAAAAAGCACCUGGAGUAAGGGCUGGGUAAGACCGGUGCCAGCCGCCGCGGUAACACCGGCAGCCCAGGUGGUAGCCACUUUUAUUGGGUCUAAAGCGUCCGUAGCCGGUUGAGUAAGUUCCUUGGGAAAUUUGGCUGCUCAACAGUCAAGCUUCCAGGGAAUACUGCUCGACUUGGGACUGGGAGAGGUCAGAGGUACUCCGAGGGGUAGGGGUGAAAUCCAUUAAUCCCGUGGGGGACCACCGGUAGCGAAGGCGUCUGACCAGACCAGGUCCGACGGUGAGGGACGAAGGCUAGGGUCGCGAACCGGAUUAGACUACCCCCGUAGU
rnacentral:rRNA from 1 species